CAGCACCUCAAGUGGUCAGGAUGAUUAUUGGGCCUAAAGCAUCCGUAGCCGGCGCUGUAAGUUUUCGGUUAAAUCUGUACACUCAACGUACAGGCUGCCGGGAAUACUGCAGCGCUAGGGAGUGGGAGAGGUAGACGGUACUCGGUAGGAAGGGGUAAAAUCCUUUGAUCUAUUGAUGACCACCUGUGGCGAAGGCGGUCUACCAGAACACGUCCGACGGUGAGGGAUGAAAGCUGGGGGAGCAAACCGGAUUAGAGACCCGUGUAGUCC
rnacentral:rRNA from 1 species